GUUCGGACUGUAGGCUGCAACUCGCCUACACGAAGCUGGAAUCGCUAGUAAUCGCGGAUCAGCACGCCGCGGUGAAUACCGUUCCCGGGCCUUGUACACACCGCCCGUCACACCAUGAGAGUCUGUAACACCCAAAGCCGGUGGGAUAACCUUUAUAGGAGUCAGCCGUCUAAGGUAGGACAGAUGAUUAGGGUGAAGUCGUAACAAGGUACC
rnacentral:rRNA from 1 species